rnacentral:rRNA from 1 species
UACGUAGGGACCAAGCGUUGUUCGGAUUUACUGGGCGUAAAGGGCGCGUAGGCGGCGCGGUAAGUCACUUGUGAAAUCUCUGAGCUUAACUCAGAACGGCCAAGUGAUACUGCAGUGCUAGAGUGUGGAAGGGGCAAUCGGAAUUCUUGGUGUAGCGGUGAAAUGCGUAGAUAUCAAGAGGAACACCGGUGGCGAAGGCGGAUCUCUGGGCCAUUACUGACGCUGAGGAGCGAAAGCGUGGGGAGCAAACAGG